rnacentral:tRNA from 1 species
CUAAAGUUAGCUCAGUCGGUUAGAGCAUGGUGCUGGUAACACCAAGGCCAUGGGUUUGAUCCCUCUUCAGU